GACGAACGCUGGCGGCGUGCUUAACACAUGCAAGUCGAACGGAAAGGCCCUGCUUUUGUGGGGUGCUCGAGUGGCGAACGGGUGAGUAACACGUGAGUAACCUGCCCUUGACUUUGGGAUAACUUCAGGAAACUGGGGCUAAUACCGGAUAGGAGCUCCUGCUGCAUGGGGGGGGUUGGAAAGUUUCGGCGGUUGGGGAUGGACUCGCGGCUUAUCAGCUUGUUGGUGGGGUAGUGGCUUACCAAGGCUUUGACGGGUAGCCGGCCUGAGAGGGUGACCGGCCACAUUGGGACUGAGAUACGGCCCAGACGCCUACGGGAGGCAGCAGUGGGGAAUAUUGCACAAUGGGCGGAAGCCUGAUGCAGCAACGCCGCGUGCGGGAUGACGGCCUUCGGGUUGUAAACCGAUUUCGCCUGUGACGAAGCGUGAGUGACGGUAAUGGGUAAAGAAGCACCGGCUACCUACGG
rnacentral:rRNA from 1 species